AGCCUAAACCGAUUUUUCGGCAUGGUUAAAAGACCCAUGAAAGAUACUGAACCCCGCGUUCAGCGACUCUUUCAUGGGCUAUAUCAGGAAACUGGUAUAGGGUCGUAAGACCU
rnacentral:sRNA from 1 species